CAGUAGCCACGGUAAUACGUAGGGUGCAAGCGUUAAUCGGAAUUACUGGGCGCAAAGCGUGCGCAGGCGGUUCGUUAAGACAGAUGUGAAAUCCCCGGGCUUAACCUGGGAACUGCAUUUGUGACUGGCGGGCUAGAGUAUGGCAGAGGGGGGUAGAAUUCCACGUGUAGCAGUGAAAUGCGUAGAGAUGUGGAGGAACACCGAUGGCGAAGGCAGCCCCCUGGGCCAAUACUGACGCUCAUGCACGAAAGCGUGGGGAGCAAACAGGAUUAGAUACCCCCGUAGUCCCUGUCUCUUAUAU
rnacentral:rRNA from 1 species